rnacentral:rRNA from 1 species
UACGAAGGGGGCUAGCGUUGCUCGGAAUCAUUGGGCGUAAAGGGUGCGUAGGCGGCUCUUUAAGUCAGGGGUGAAAUCCUGGAGCUCAACUCCGAAACGGCAUUGGAAACUGCGUUGCUAGAGGGUUGGAGGGGGGACUGGAAUGCUUGGUGUAGCGGUGAAAUGCGUAGAUAUCAGGAGGAACACCGGUGGCGAAGGCGGCUUUCUGGACAGAUACCGACGCUGAGGCACGAAAGCUAGGGGAGCAAACAGG